rnacentral:rRNA from 1 species
UACGAGGGGGGCUAGCGUUGUUCGGAAUUACUGGGCGUAAAGGGCGCGUAGGCGGUACUUCAAGUCAGGCGUGAAAGCCCCGGGCUCAGCCUGGGAACCGCGCUUGAGACUGGAGAACUAGAGUUCGGGAGAGGAUGGUGGAAUUCCCAGUGUAGAGGUGAAAUUCGUAGAUAUUGGGAAGAACACCGAUGGCGAAGGCAGCCAUCUGGGACGGUACUGACGCUGAGACGCGAAAAGCGUGGGGAGCAAACAGGG